GCUUACGGCCAUACCACCCUGAGAACGCCCGAUCUCGUCUGAUCUCGGAAGCUAAGCAGGGUCGGGCCUGGUUAGUACUUGGAUGGGAGACCACCUGGGAAUACCAGGUGCUGUAAGCU
ensembl:rRNA 5S_rRNA 5S ribosomal RNA